rnacentral:rRNA from 1 species
UAAGCGGAGGAAAAGAAACUAACAAGGAUUCCCCUAGUAACGGCGAGUGAAGCGGGAAAAGCUCAAAUUUGAAAUCUGGUAGCCUCAGGCUGCCCGAGUUGUAAUCUAUAGAAACGUUUUCCGCGCUGGCCCAUGUACAAGUCUCCUGGAAUGGAGCGUCAUAGAGGGUGAGAAUCCCGUCCUUGACAUGGACUACCAGUGCUUUGUGAUACGUUUUCAAAGAGUCGAGUUGUUUGGGAAUGCAGCUCAAAAUGGGUGGUAAAUUCCAUCUAAAGCUAAAUAUUGGCGAGAGACCGAUAGCGAACAAGUACCGUGAGGGAAAGAUGAAAAGCACUUUGGAAAGAGAGUUAAACAGUAUGUGAAAUUGUUGAAAGGGAAACGAUUGAAGUCAGUCAUGUCUAUUGGACUCAGCCGGUUCUGCCGGUGUACUUCCUUUAGAUGGGGUCAACAUCAGUUUUGAUCGCUGGAAAAGGGCAGGAGGAAUGUAGCACUCUCGGGUGAACUUAUAGCCUCCUGUCGUAUACAGUGGUUGGGACUGAGGAACGCAGCAUGCCUUUAUGGCC